UAGGGAAUCUUCCGCAAUGGGCGAAAGCCUGACGGAGCAACGCCGCGUGAGUGAUGAAGGUCUUCGGAUCGUAAAACUCUGUUAUUAGGGAAGAACAUACGUGUAAGUAACUAUGCACGUCUUGACGGUACUUAAUCAGAAAGCCACGGCUAACUACGUGCCAGCAGCCGCGGUAAUACGUAGGUGGCAAGCGUUAUCCGGAAUUAUUGGGCGUAAAGCGCGCGUAGGCGGUUUUUUAAGUCUGAUGUGAAAGCCCACGGCUCAACCGUGGAGGGUCAUUGGAAACUGGAAAACUUGAGUGCAGAAGAGGAAAGUGGAAUUCCAUGUGUAGCGGUGAAAUGCGCAGAGAUAUGGAGGAACACCAGUGGCGAAGGCGACUUUCUGGUCUGUAACUGACGCUGAUGUGCGAAAGCGUGGGGAUCAAACAGG
rnacentral:rRNA from 1 species